UACGUAGGAGGCAAGCGUUGUCCGGAAUCACUGGGCGUAAAGGGUGCGCAGGCGGUCGGGUGUGUCAGAUGUGAAAUCCCGAGGCUCAACCUCGGAACUGCGUCUGAAACUACUCGACUAGAGUACUGGAGAGGGUAACGGAAUUCACGGUGUAGCAGUGAAAUGCGUAGAUAUCGUGAGGAACACCAGAGGCGAAGGCGGUUACCUGGACAGUUACUGACGCUCGGGCACGAAAGCAUGGGGAGCAAAAGGG
rnacentral:rRNA from 1 species